AAACUAACCAGGAUUCCCUCAGUAACUGCGAGUGAAGCGGGAAAGCUCAGACUGAAAAUCUUCGGAAUUGUAGUCUGGAGAAGUAUGGUCAGCCGAUAAUGAUGGGUAAAGUCUUCUGGAAAGGAGCGCCAUGGAGGGUGAUAGCCCCGUUCAUACCUAUUAUUAGAAGCGUACGACCUGCUUUCUACGAGUCGAGUUGUUUGGGACUGCAGCUCUAAGUGGGUGGUAAAUUCCAUCUAAAGCUAAAUAUUGGUGGUAGACCGAUAGCGAACAAGUACCGUGAGGGAAAGAUGCAAAGAACUUUGAAAAGAGAGUUAAAUAGUACCUGAAAUUGCUGAAAUGGAACCGAUGGGAGGCAGUGUCGGUGGCGGAUACUUGUAUCUGUCACAAGUAGGGCUUCUUUUCUAGCGCGGGAAAGGCUGAUGAACUAGUUUAGGUCAUCUUGUCCGUCGUGCUGGGGAAGGACUUCUACGAAAUGCCUCUCAUCACCCCGUCUUGAAACACGGA
rnacentral:rRNA from 1 species